rnacentral:rRNA from 1 species
GGCCUGAAGCCUCUCUCCCAGAUUUGGUCGAUUAGAAUCCCGCUCAAGAUUAGGAUCUUCCUCUGGCAAUGGAUUUGCGGUCGAGUCCCUUCAGGGGUGGAGGUACUCAAACGCAGUGGCCCUGGUGAUGGUAUCUGCCCCUUGUGCGACACGGAAGAAGACUCUAACCAUAUAUUCUUCUCGUGUGCCUCGGCUCAAUUCCUCUGGAGUUGCUUCCAGGAAAUGGUGGGUGCUGGAUGGUGCCAUUCCAACUUCUCCGACCUCUUCGAGGAGUUGAAUGCCACGACAUUCAGUUCCUGCCACAUUAGGUGGCUUGGGAUUGGGGCUCUUGCCUGGACGCUUUGGACGAUUCGAAACAAGCUAGUCAUUGAACACUCCCCCUUGUGA